rnacentral:lncRNA from 10 species
GACUCGGGUCGUGGCUGACGACCCGACGGUUCGCCUGCGGCCGCCUCCAACAACGGUGGAAACCGCACACAGGGACCGCGGGCCCUCGGUGCAGCAAAUCGGAAAGUGCUGCGGUCGGCGGCCCUGGGCUCUGAGCGCUCAAGCGAGCAGAGGGGUGGAGGGGCUCUCCCCACCCACAGGAGGCUCUCGGCGGGGCGCAGCCAAUUCUGCGCGCCCAAGGCUCCCCUCUGCCGUGGAUCGCGUGUGCCGAGUGUUGGCCUCUUCCCCGAAAGGGCCAGACGGACCAAGGGGGCCUUCCCAGCCGGCUGCAAGCUCUCAGACGCUAAAAUGGGAACAAAGCUUCCAGAAAGGCAGCGCCUUUGGGCGGCCGCGCCCCGCCCAGCCGCGGGGGCCAUUGAUACAGAGGCUUGCUGCGCUUGGUGUGCGCGGCCCGGCCGGGCCUCUGGAAACGCCCAUGAGAAAUGAGCUCAUGCUGGAUGCGCGCGCUCCUUGGGCGCAACUGCCCAGCGCAAAACGGGCCCCGAAAGCAGGGUCUCACUUUGUCCUCCAGGCUGGAGUGCUGCGGCCUCAACCUCCCAGGUUCAAGGGAUCCUGCUGCCUCAGCCCCCCAAGUAGCUAGGACUACAAGGGUGCACCACCACACCCAGCUAAUUUUUGUAUUUUUUGUAUAAAUGGGGUUUCGCCAUGUUGCCCAGACUGGUCUCAAACUCCUGGGCUCAAAAUCUGCGUGCCAUGGCUUCUCAAAACGCUAGGAUUACUGGCGUGAGUCACCAUGCCUGGCCUAUAAUUUGUUAAUAUGGUUGUUACUACAAAGUUUAAAAUAAAUUGCCCAUGCAUUCCUAUUUAUAAUAGGUGAGUGGAGGACACUUCAAUCUAAAGUGAUCUUAAAGGAGGAGUAGUAGGAUUUGAAGAUGAAGAAAGAAGAG